rnacentral:rRNA from 1 species
UCAACGGAGAGUUUGAUCCUGGCUCAGGACGAACGCUGGCGGCGUGCUUAACACAUGCAAGUCGAGCGGUAAGGCCCUUCGGGGUACACGAGCGGCGAACGGGUGAGUAACACGUGGGUGAUCUGCCUCGCACUCUGGGAUAAGCCUGGGAAACUGGGUCUAAUACCGGAUAUGAGCACGGUCUGCAUGGACUGUGUUGGAAAGGUUUACUGGUGCGAGAUGGGCCCGCGGCCUAUCAGCUUGUUGGUGGGGUAACGGCCUACCAAGGCGACGACGGGUAGCCGGCCUGAGAGGGCGACCGGCCACACUGGGACUGAGACACGGCCCAGACUCCUACGGGAGGCAGCAGUGGGGAAUAUUGCACAAUGGGCGAAAGCCUGAUGCAGCGACGCCGCGUGAGGGAUGACGGCCUUCGGGUUGUAAACCUCUUUC